GGGAGUGUAGAUAAUCUCAAACGGAUAGAGGCUGGUUAACGAAAGCCAGUGGUUGCAGGUUCGAGUCCUGCCGCUCCCA
rnacentral:tRNA from 1 species